AACUAACGCUGGCGGCGUGCCUAACACAUGCAAGUCGUACGAGAAAGUUGGCUUCGGCCGAUGAGUAAAGUGGCGCACGGGUGAGUAAUGCGUGGAUAAUCUGCCCUUUAGUUGGGAAUAACGUACCGAAAGGUGCGCUAAUACCUGAUAAUACUGCAUAACUACUGUUGUGUAGUCAAAGAAGGCCUCUGUUUACAAGCUUUUGCUGAAGGAUGAGUCCGCGUACCAUUAGCUGGUUGGUGAGGUAAUGGCUCACCAAGGCUCCGACGGGUAGCCGGGCCUGAGAGGGUGGCCGGCCACACUGGGACUGAGACACGGCCCAGACUCCUACGGGAGGCAGCAGUGGGGAAUAUUGCGCAAUGGACGAAAGUCUGACGCAGCGACGCCGCGUGGGUGAUGAAGGCCUUCGGGUCGUAAGCCCUAGUUGAGGGAGAGAAGUUACUGUCGGUUAAUACCGGCAGUGGUGAUAGUAUCCCUAGAGAAAGCACCGGCUAACUACGUGCC
rnacentral:rRNA from 1 species